rnacentral:misc_RNA from 1 species
AAAGUUUAGUCCUAGCCACUGCCACGGCCAACACAUGUAUCUGUGACUGUUUUGUUCCCUCGAAUCAGUUCUAACGUCAGACUCCUCAAGUUGCCGAGUUAGCUCCUCCACUUUCUCCCUCAGCCUUGUAGACCUUAAGUCUGCUAGCCUCAACGAGUUCUCAGCUGCAUUCCUUGCAGCCAUUGCAGCUGCUGCAGUUUCUUCUUUGAACUUGAGCUUGUUCG